rnacentral:rRNA from 1 species
GAUGAACGCUGGCGGCGUGCCUAAUACAUGCCAGUCGAGCGAACGGACGAGAAGCUUGCUUCUCUGAUGUUAGCGGCGGACGGGUGAGUAACACGUGGAUAACCUACCUAUAAGACUGGGAUAACUUCGGGAAACCGGAGCUAAUACCGGAUGAUAUUUUGAACCGCAUGGUUCAAAAGUGAAAGACGGUCUUGCUGUCACUUAUAGAUGGAUCCGCGCUGCAUUAGCUAGUUGGUAAGGUAACGGCUUACCAAGGCAACGAUGCAUAGCUGACCUGAGAGGGUGAUCGGCCACACUGGAACUGAGACACGGUCCAGACUCCUACGGGAGGCAGCAGUAGGGAAUCUUCCGCAAUGGGCGAAAGCCUGACGGAGCAACGCCGCGUGAGUGAUGAAGGUCUUCGGAUCGUAAAACUCUGUUAUUAGGGAAGAACAUAUGUGUAAGUAACUGUGCACAUCUUGACGGUACCUAAUCAGAAAGCCACGGCUAACUACGUG